rnacentral:lncRNA from 1 species
AGCAGACUGGUGCACACCCCCUUGCUCUGAGGAGGCUCAGUCUAUCAGGUACAUGCCCGGGCGAGUUUCCUGUGUCAGCCUCCAAACAGACAGCAGCUCGCGUCGCGGUGGUUGUAGAGACUAGAUCAUGAACGCUAACGCAAUCCUCCUGGGGCUCUGUUUGAUUUUGGGAAGUUGGACUCCGUGUUCACACUUGUACUACAACAGCUCCUUCAGUUGAGCCAAAACAAAGCCCCAGAGUCUUUUAACAAGAAAAUGUCAUGUUGCAAGCAAUUCUUGAAUUGUCUUAUUUCCAAAGUCACAGUAUGAAAUUCAAUGUGUUUUUAUGUCCAGGACCCAAAAGAUGCUGUUCCUCAGGAGUCAAACUGACCUUCAAACAGAUGAUUCCAAACUCUGUGAUUCAUGUUUCUUCAUGCAGAUUCCUGCAGCUUUGGCCCGGCAGCAGUGCACCUGCUGAUGCCAACCGGGCCGGUGCCACCGGCGAUGAGGUCACCUGCAGGUAACUGGACCCGAGUGGUUGUGAUAAAUUUGCCAUCUUGUGUCUCACCUCUGCAGAAAAAUCAGGUCACUCCUUUCUCUCUCUGGGCUCGUUGCUCCACUCAAACUCAGAACCUAAUCUCACCCUGACCCGUCUGAGUCAGCUGUGGACCCACUCAGACCCAUGACCUGCACAUGAUGGAAAUAAGAGGUCUAGUGGGCUAAACGGCAGACUGUUUACAGGACCAAAGCAAAGGUUAAACCCAGGUGAACAUGUCAUAUGUGACUACAGCGUCAUGCUGACCUUUGACCCGUGUCACACACUGUCACACACAAAUUCUGCUCAUGUGACACUGACUUAACUGAACUUUAAGGACAAACUGUUACAUAACUGUUAUAUAUUUUCUUUUAUAGGUCAGUAAACGUUUAGUUAAUACGUUCAUGUUUUCAAAGCUUCAGUUAUUAUAAUAUAGUACUUCAUUUAUUUUUUUUUCCUUGGCUGUGACUGUGACUGUGGCUCAUUGGUUGUGAACAUGUAAAUGUGUGAUUUCUUAUGAGGUUGAACUGUCAUACAGAGCAAUUACAACAAGCAGCAUCCCGUUGCGUUUGGAUGUCACACUGUACAUGUGUAAUAUUAACUGUAGAAUUAGUCUUAAGGCCGUGAGAUUCUGUAAAUGAGUGUAGAAGGACCACAGGCCCCAGUGAUCUGAGAUCAGAGCACAAUGAUAGAGGGUACAGGUCUGAGCUGAGCCUAGUUUUACUGCAGAUCAUGCUUCCCUUCAGUGACAUCUAUCAGCACCUCCAACACACAGUUCCUGAAGGCUUGGGGAACAUUUUUGAAUGGAUUAUUAUUUCCUCUGGGACCGACAGAAGCCACGGCUGUCGGGUUACUGGCUCUCGACAGAUGAAACACAGAUCUAUUUCACUUUUAUUUAGACCUUGAUCAAAACUCCACAAAUUCACCAACAUGCAAGGACAAACUCUACACACACACACACACACACACACACACACACACACACACAC